UGGGGAAUCUUGGACAAUGGGCGCAAGCCUGAUCCAGCCAUGCCGCGUGAGUGAUGAAGGCCCUAGGGUCGUAAAGCUCUUUCGCCAGGGAUGAUAAUGACAGUACCUGGUAAAGAAACCCCGGCUAACUCCGUGCCAGCAGCCGCGGUAAUACGGAGGGGGUUAGCGUUGUUCGGAAUUACUGGGCGUAAAGCGCACGUAGGCGGAUCAGAAAGUUGGGGGUGAAAUCCCGGGGGCUCAACCCCGGAACUGCCUCCAAAACUCCUGGUCUAGAGUUCGAGAGAGGUGAGUGGAAUUCCGAGUGUAGAGGUGAAAUUCGUAGAUAUUCGGAGGAACACCAGUGGCGAAGGCGGCUCACUGGCUCGAUACUGACGCUGAGGUGCGAAAGUGUGGGGAGCAAACAGGAUUAGAUACCCUGGUAGUCCACACCGUAAACGAUGAAUGCCAGUCGUCGGGUAGCAUGCUAUUCGGUGACACACCUAACGGAUUAAGCAUUCCGCCUGGGGAGUACGGUCGCAGAUUAAAA
rnacentral:rRNA from 1 species